AUUUAACUCUUUCUUCAUUCCUAACACAUGCAAGUCUAGCGAUCGGCGGACGGGUUAUUAAUUUAUUUUGACUGCCCGAUAGAGGGGGAUCACUACUGGAAACGCUAGCUAAUACCGCAUACUAUCGGAUAACCCAUAUGGGAUUAGCUAGUAGGUGAGGUAAUGGCUCACCUAGGCGACGAUCCCUAGCUGGUCUGAGAGGAUGAUCAGGCACACUGGGACUGAGACACGGCCCAGACUCCUACGGAGGCAGCAGUGGGGAAUAUUGCACAAUGGGCGCAAGCCUGAUGCAGCUAUGCCGCGUGUGUGAAGAAGGCCUUAGGGUUGUAAAGUACUUUCAGUCGGGAGGCGUUACCGACAGAAGAAGCACCGGCUAACUCCGUGCCAGCAGCCGCGGUAAUUC
rnacentral:rRNA from 1 species